GUGACAGCAGCCGCGGUAAUACGUAGGGGGCAAGCGUUGUUCGGAAUUACUGGGCGUAAAGGGCGCGUAGGCGGUACGACAAGUCUGGAGUGAAAGCCCGGGGCUCAACCCCGGAAUGUCUUUGGAAACUGUCGAACUUGAGUGCGGAAGAGGCAUCUGGAAUUCCCAGUGUAGCGGUGAAAUGCGUAGAUAUUGGGAAGAACACCUGAGGCGAAGGCGGGAUGCUGGGCCGACACUGACGCUGAGGCGCGAAAGCCAGGGGAGCGAACGGGAUUAGAUACCCUAGUAGUCC
rnacentral:rRNA from 1 species